AAAAGAAAAAGAGAGCUUUCUUCAGUCCACCCAUGGGUUGCGAUAAGAUAUCAAUUAGCUGCCGACUCAUUCAGCCAAAUACUAAGUCAAAUUCUGGCUAUAUAUGGUGCUUGGUAAAUGAUUGAAUGAUGCGGGAGACAAAUUGAAUCUUAGGUUUCCUGUACUUGGACUGAAGGGAGCUCCCUUAGUUUUUAAU
rfam:Helianthus annuus linkage group 3, whole genome shotgun sequence.